rnacentral:rRNA from 1 species
GACGAACGCUGGCGGCGUGCCUAAUACAUGCAAGUCGAACGCAGUGGGGACGGGUGAGUAACACGUGGGUAACCUCCCAUCAGAGGGGAUAACACUUGGAAACAGGUGCUAAACCGAUACUGAUGGAUGGACCCGCGGUGCAUUAGCUAGUUGGUGAGGUAACGGCUCACCAAGGCCACGAUGCAUAGCCGACCUGGGCGUGUGAUCGGCGACACGGGGACUUAGACACGGCCCCGACUCCGACGGUAGGAAGCAGGAGGGAAUCGUCGGCAAUGGACGAAAGUCGUAUCGAGCAACGCCGCGUGAUUGAAGAAGGUUUUCGGAUCGUAAAACUCUGUUGUUAGAGAAGCGGUAUCUAACCAGAAAGCCACGGCUAACUACGUGCCAGCAGCCGCGGUAAUAC